UACGGAGGGUGCAAGCGUUAUCCGGAUUCACUGGGUUUAAAGGGUGCGUAGGUGGGCAGGUAAGUCAGUGGUGAAAUCUCCGGGCUUAACCCGGAAACUGCCAUUGAUACUAUUUGUCUUGAAUACCGUGGAGGUCAGCGGAAUAUGUCAUGUAGCGGUGAAAUGCUUAGAUAUGACAUAGAACACCAAUUGCGAAGGCAGCUUACUACAUAGUUAUUGACACUGAGGCACGAAAGCGUGGGGAUCAAACAGG
rnacentral:rRNA from 1 species